AGGAUAUUUGGUGAUACUUGGUUAAUAUUGCUGGUAAGUGGGACAUUUGUCUUAAAAUACUUUAAUAACCAUGCAAUUGUAUAUAUCAUUGAUUUAUAUGAAUGGAUGAGUUCGUUUGGGAAGGAAUGUUUGUGGAUUCUGGCAGCAUGUGGAUUAGCCCAGUCGCUCUGUCAUUUGGGGAUGUAGCUAAAUUUAAGUUUACAUUUGUGAAAUACAAUUCCGUUUUGGCUAUAGAGUGAAGAGUAUGAGGUGAUGUAGUUAGUGUAGAUGUAUUUUGUAGGAAAUUAAGUUGCAUACAGGCUGUAUUAAAGUGAAUUGUCAUGUUUCACCUAGCAGACAUAUAGCCAUACUGGUAUCCUGGGAGCACACGUGUGUGGAGGAUAGAGAUGUGUGCGUGUUAGGAACAUUAUCACCACUACCGUUUUGUAUUGCUGAACCUUACUUUCAUUUAUUUUCUUAUACGGCUAGUUCAGCUACAGAGUUGGGAUAGGCUUAGCUUGUGUACAGGUUAGUUUAUCAUAUAAGAUUUCUAUUUGAUGUCAUUUUAUUUUUGUACUUUUCUAUACAAAUCUUUUGUUUUAUAUAUCUAUCAGAUAAAGAACCCUUACUCUUAA